AUGGGUGCCAUGAGAACUCUUGUUUUGAAGCUGGAUAAUUUGCUGCUAGCUCCUCCUCAAGUAUGCUCGUCCGUCAGUGUCCAACACGGGAUGAGCCUCCUUAAAAAUGAUGUCCAUAAGAUGUGCACCUACCUUGAUCAAUUGUCAGGGUUGGAGGACCCUCCCCUGACGGCCAAGUGCUGGAUGAAUGAGGCGCGCGACCUGUCAUACGACAUGGAGGAUUAUAUCGACAGUUUGUUAUUUGUGCAGCCUGCAGAUCCAUCCCUAGUUGCCAAUAACAUCAAGACCACGAGAUCACUCCUCAAAUUGUUCAGUCCUGUCAAGAAUCCCAAGAGGCUCCAGCAGCCCAACAAGAUUGCAGAAACAGUAUCAGAAUUCAGGAUGUAUGUUCAGGCGGCGAUUCAACGACACGAAGUAUAUGUUCUGUCAGAUUCCGCUCCAUGUUCCUCCAGCACCUUGAGGGGUAGAUUUGUGUCUGCAGGCCAUAUACUUCCAACACCUUAUGAAGAAACUGACGACAUAGUGAUAAAUGGCCCGAUGAACAAAUUUAUCAAUUCACUGGCUAAGGAUGGGGAAAAGAAUCUCAAGGUAGUAUCUGUUUUUGGAUCUGCCUGUCUUGGUAAAACUACACUUGCUAGAUUGUUGUACGACAGAUUUGGGAAGCAAUACAAUUGUCGAGCUUUCAUUCGGGUGUCAAAGAAAGCUGAUAUGAAGAGAAUUUUUCGAGACAUGCUCUCACAACUCAAGCGGCAGCAUCCCCGACAAGAUUGCGAGGACAUUGAACUCAUUUACUAUAUUACAGAAUAUCUACAACAUAGAAGGUAUUUAAUUGUUAUUGAUGAUAUAUGGGAUACAACAGUAUGGGAUAAUAUUAGCCAUGCUUUCCCAAAGGGCAGUCAUGGCAGCAGAAUAAUAACAACCACGCAGAUUGAAGAUGUUGCACUGACAUGUUGCUGUUAUCAGUCAGAGUAUGUGUUUGAGAUGAAAAGCAUGGAUGAUGAUCAAUCAAGAAAACUAUUCUUUAACAGACUAUUUGGCUCUGAAAGUUCAUGUCCUCCACAGUUGAAAGAGACUUCAAACGAAAUAGUUGAAAUGUGUGGUGGUUUGCCGCUAGCAACAAUCAGCAUAGCUAGUCUUUUAGCAAGCCAGCCUGUCAUGUCAGUUGAUCAAUUGACAUACAUCCGUGAGUCGUUAAGCCCCUGUAUCUCGGCAUGUUCUACUUCAGAGAGAACGAGACAAGCACUGAAUCUGAGCUUCAAUAAUCUUCCUGAUUACUUGAAGACAUGUUUGUUGUAUCUUAGUAUUUAUCCAGAGGGCUACACAUUCUGCAAGGAUGAUUUAGUGAAGCAAUGGGUGGCUGAAGGUCUCAUCGAUUCAAUGGAAAUGCAAGAUACGGAGAAAGUUGCAGAAAACUAUCUCCAUCAACUUAUUGAUAGAAGAUUCAUCCAGCCUGUACGUACCAACUACAAUAAUGAAGUGUUGUCGUGUGCAGUUCAUGACACAGUACAUGGUCUUAUUGCACACAAGUCUGCAGAACAGAAUUUCAUUGUUGCAAUAGACAACAACGAAAAGAACCCGGCUCUCUCCCAUAAGGCCCGUCGACUAUGUCUCCUUUCUCGUUAUGCAUCAUAUGGCAAGACACCAACAAACAUCAUGAAAUCACAAGUUCGGUCACUUAGAUUUGUUGGAUUAUCCGACUGUAUGCCCUGUAUUCAAGAGUUCAAGUUACUUCGCGUUCUAAACCUUGAAAUCACCUAUAAUCACGGCCCCAGUGAUCCUGUUGACCUCACCGGGAUGUCUGAACUGUAUCAACUGAAAUAUUUGAAGAUUGCAUGUGAUGUCUCCAUAAAACUGCCAAACCAUGGGCUACAAUGUUUAGAAACACUGGAUAUAAAGGAUGCAGUAGACACCUAUUUUGGAGGAGGUUGUAUCCUCCAUCUCCCACACUUGUUACACGCCAGUCUUCCUUUUAAGAAUAGUCAUAUGCGUAGUAUGGGCAAUAUGGCCAAGUUUGGGAAUGCCAGGUAUGUUGAGGAUUUACGUCUUACCAGUUAUUCUAGAGAUUACAUCGAUCUGGAGGGCCUUGUAGAAGCUCUGGGUUUCUUAAUUGGAGAAUAUCGCAACCUGAGAACUGUGGUAGUUUCUCAUUGCUCCAUGGUGACAAAUUAUGUGGUUUGUGGUGAUAUCAAUUAUUGGGAUAACAUGGAACCUCCCCCCCUUCUCCAGAGAUUUGAAUGGUCAUCCCCCAGUGGCAUGUUCUUGGACCGAAUUCCUAGGUGGUUUAAAGAACUAAAACACCUGUCCAUUUUGAAGAUUGCAGUGAGGAUACUAGAGACGGAUUGUGUGGAUGUUCUUAGAGGAUUGCAUGUCCUCACUGCUCUGUCCCUGUGUGUUCUGAAGUCACCCGCUUACAAGAUCAUAUUUGACAAGGCCGGGUUCUCAGAUCUCAAAUACUUCAAGUUGAAGUGCAUCAGUGGUAUAGCUCUGCUGAAAUUUGAGGCAGAUGCGAUGCCUAAUAUCUGUAAGAUCAAGCUAGUUUUCAAUGCCAGCCCCCAAAUGGACCAAUGUAAACGUGGUGCUGCGAUUAUCAUCAUCGAUCAUAUGCCAAGACUUAAAGAGGUCUCCGUAAAAUUUGGAGGUACAGCUUCUGAUGUAGAGUAUGCUGUGAGGACCUUCGUUAAUAAUCAUCCGAGCAAUCCCAAAAUAAGCAUGCAACAGGUGGAAUAUAGUUCAUGUGACGAGGAAAACACAAAGCAGAAACGACAACCAGAUGAGAUUAAGGAGGAAGAACGGGAUGCAUCAUGGAAGCAACAACCGGAUAAUAUUGUGGAGGAUGAACCUGAUGAAUCAUACAAACAACCACCAGAUAAGAUCAGCGAGGGAAAACCAGAUAAAUAUAAAAAGACACUGGAGAUACCAGCUGAUAAAAGGUCCCCAGAGUCUCUGCGUGCUUUCACCUUGGGUGAGCUCAUAUCUGCCACCAGCAACUUUUCGCAGCAAAACCGCCUCAGGAAACACAACUUCGAUGGCAGUAGCACCUACAAGGGGACCGUCGACGGCAAGGUCAUGGUCACCAUCAAAAAAUUCCCCCGCGGCGAGGAGCUGCCGGAGUUGGAGAAUCUUUGGACGACACAACAUCCUCAUGUGGUGAGGCUGCUGGGCUACUGCAACGAAGGCGGGCACGCGAUGCUUGUCUACGAGUACAUACCCAGGGGCAACCUCGCAGACAAUCUGAUUCGGUCGUUACCUUGGUUAACACGGCUCAAGAUAGCCAUCGGAGCAGCUAAAGGUUUGGCGUUUCUGCAUGAGUCAGCCAACUGCAAUAUCAUCGGUUUCAAUGCUUCGAGCAUUCUGCUUGGCUCGGAUUACACGGCGAAGAUACAGGGUUUUUACAGGCGUGUGUAUAGUGAGGUGGGAGCGUGCAGUAACGUGUUCGACUUCGGAUUGGUGCUUGUAGCGCUGCUGACUGGGCAGCCAUGGGCAGUGUGGCGGGGCCAACGGUUGAGGGAAACGCUGUCGCGCCCCCACCUGAGCCGCAAGGGCAUUGAGCGCAGGCUGCACUGUAUGAUGGACCCAAGACUGGAGGGUCAAUACUCGUUUUCGGCAGCAUGGAGCGCUGUGAUGAUCGCGUGCCGGUGCAUGGAUAGCGAGUUAGUGAAUCGGCGAAAGGUGCGCAUGAGUGGAGUCGUGGGCGCCCUUGAGCCACUGCUCAGCGAUCACAGUAUCGGCGGGCCUGUGCGAGUAAGUGGCAAGCGACAGUCAAAGAAAUCUAAUAUGUUGGGAUGCUUUGCCAUUGUCACUAGAAAAGAUGGUGGAAUUAAGGAUGAAGAGGACAUGAAACUAACCAGACAGCUGGCAGGUGAGGCAAUAAAAGAGGGAGGCAAUACUAGGUUUCUGGAAGAAGAAUCAGACGAGGAGUUCUUUGACGGAUACAAUUAUAGAAACAGCUGGCGAGUGGGGCAGUAA
rnacentral:rRNA from 1 species